UUAAGUGACUAAGCGUACACGGUGGAUGCCUGGGCAGUCAGAGGCGAUGAAGGACGUACUAACUUGCGAUAAGCGCAGAUAAGGCAGUAAGAGCCGUUUGAGUCUGCGAUUUCCGAAUGGGGAAACCCAACUGCAUAAGCAGUUACUGUUAACUGAAUACAUAGGUUAACAGAGCAAACCGGGGGAACUGAAACAUCUAAGUACCCCGAGGAGAAGAAAUCAACCGAGAUUCCGGUAGUAGCGGCGAGCGAACCUGGAUUAGCCCUUAAGCACUCGGUGAAGUAGGUGAACAAGCUGGAAAGCUUGGCGAUACAGGGUGAUAGCCCCGUAACCGACGCUUCAUCGAGCGUGAAAUCGAGUAGGGCGGGACACGUGAUAUCCUGUCUGAAUAUGGGGGGACCAUCCUCCAAGGCUAAAUACUCCUGACUGACCGAUAGUGAACCAGUACCGUGAGGGAAAGGCGAAAAGAACCCCUGUGAGGGGAGUGAAAUAGAACCUGAAACCGUGUACGUACAAGCAGUAGGAGCACCUUCGUGGUGUGACUGCGUACCUUUUGUAUAAUGGGUCAGCGACUUAUAUUCAGUGGCAAGGUUAACCGUAUAGGGGAGCCGUAGCGAAAGCGAGUCUUAACUGGGCGCUCAGUCUCUGGAUAUAGACCCGAAACCGGGUGAUCUAGCCAUGGGCAGGUUGAAGGUUGAGUAACAUCAACUGGAGGACCGAACCGACUAAUGUUGAAAAAUUAGCGGAUGACUUGUGGCUAGGGGUGAAAGGCCAAUCAAACUCGGAGAUAGCUGGUUCUCCCCGAAAGCUAUUUAGGUAGCGCCUCGGACGAAUACUACUGGGGGUAGAGCACUGUUAAGGCUAGGGGGUCAUCCCGACUUACCAACCCUUUGCAAACUCCGAAUACCAGUAAGUACUAUCCGGGAGACACACGGCGGGUGCUAACGUCCGUCGUGGAGAGGGAAACAACCCAGACCGCCAGCUAAGGUCCCAAAGUAUUGCUAAGUGGGAAACGAUGUGGGAAGGCUCAGACAGCUAGGAUGUUGGCUUAGAAGCAGCCAUCAUUUAAAGAAAGCGUAAUAGCUCACUAGUCGAGUCGGCCUGCGCGGAAGAUGUAACGGGGCUAAGCAAUACACCGAAGCUGCGGCAAUAUCUUUUAGAUAUUGGGUAGGGGAGCGUUCUGUAAGCCGUUGAAGGUGAAUCGUAAGGUUUGCUGGAGGUAUCAGAAGUGCGAAUGCUGACAUGAGUAACGACAAGGGGGGUGAAAAACCUCCCCGCCGGAAGACCAAGGGUUCCUGUCCAACGUUAAUCGGGGCAGGGUGAGUCGACCCCUAAGGUGAGGCCGAAAGGCGUAAUCGAUGGGAAACGGGUUAAUAUUCCCGUACUUCUGACUAUUGCGAUGGGGGGACGGAGAAGGCUAGGUGGGCCAGGCGACGGUUGUCCUGGUUCAAGUGCGUAGGCUUGAGAGUUAGGUAAAUCCGGCUCUCUCUAAGGCUGAGACACGACGUCGAGCUGCUACGGCAGUGAAGUCAUUGAUGCCAUGCUUCCAGGAAAAGCCUCUAAGCUUCAGAUAGUCAGGAAUCGUACCCCAAACCGACACAGGUGGUCGGGUAGAGAAUACCAAGGCGCUUGAGAGAACUCGGGUGAAGGAACUAGGCAAAAUGGUACCGUAACUUCGGGAGAAGGUACGCUCUUGAUGGUGAAGUCCCUCGCGGAUGGAGCUGACGAGAGUCGCAGAUACCAGGUGGCUGCAACUGUUUAUUAAAAACACAGCACUGUGCAAAAUCGCAAGAUGACGUAUACGGUGUGACGCCUGCCCGGUGCCGGAAGGUUAAUUGAUGGGGUUAGCGCAAGCGAAGCUCUUGAUCGAAGCCCCGGUAAACGGCGGCCGUAACUAUAACGGUCCUAAGGUAGCGAAAUUCCUUGUCGGGUAAGUUCCGACCUGCACGAAUGGCGUAAUGAUGGCCACGCUGUCUCCACCCGAGACUCAGUGAAAUUGAAAUCGCUGUGAAGAUGCAGUGUACCCGCGGCUAGACGGAAAGACCCCGUGAACCUUUACUACAGCUUGGCACUGAACAUUGAACCUACAUGUGUAGGAUAGGUGGGAGGCUAUGAAGACGUGACGCCAGUUGCGUUGGAGCCGUCCUUGAAAUACCACCCUUGUAUGUUUGAUGUUCUAACUUAGACCCAUUAUCUGGGUUGAGGACAGUGCCUGGUGGGUAGUUUGACUGGGGCGGUCUCCUCCCAAAGAGUAACGGAGGAGCACGAAGGUGGGCUAAUCACGGUUGGACAUCGUGAGGUUAGUGCAAUGGCAUAAGCCCGCUUAACUGCGAGAAUGACGGUUCGAGCAGGUGCGAAAGCAGGUCAUAGUGAUCCGGUGGUUCUGUAUGGAAGGGCCAUCGCUCAACGGAUAAAAGGUACUCCGGGGAUAACAGGCUGAUACCGCCCAAGAGUUCAUAUCGACGGCGGUGUUUGGCACCUCGAUGUCGGCUCAUCACAUCCUGGGGCUGAAGUCGGUCCCAAGGGUAUGGCUGUUCGCCAUUUAAAGUGGUACGCGAGCUGGGUUUAGAACGUCGUGAGACAGUUCGGUCCCUAUCUGCCGUGGGCGUUGGAAGAUUGAAGGGGGCUGCUCCUAGUACGAGAGGACCGGAGUGGACGAACCUCUGGUGUUCGGGUUGUGUCGCCAGACGCAUUGCCCGGUAGCUAAGUUCGGAAUUGAUAAGCGCUGAAAGCAUCUAAGCGCGAAGCGAGCCCUGAGAUGAGUCUUCCCUGAGUUU
rnacentral:rRNA from 1 species